rnacentral:lncRNA from 1 species
UCUCCAGACUUUUCUACAUGGAAAACAAAAAUGUGAAACAGGGAAGGCAUCAUCAGAAGAUGUUCACCUGGAGAAACUCAUUGAGACUGUGUCUUUGUUUACAAUUUUUUUUUUGACAAAGCUCUAUUUUGGUUUCUUAAACUAUUCAUGGCAUUAAUUUUUUUUUAAAAAAAUGCAUGCUCUAGCAUGCACACAGAGAGAUAAAAAUGUUUCUGCAAAAGAGGGUAUGAUAAAAAAAAAUACCUACAGGUAGUUUAUCUCCAACAAUUCCAUCAAACUUUGUUAUCGUCACAACCUAAACAUCUACCGCUUUGUUUUUUGGACAGGGUGAACAUGAAGAACAGGUACUCUGAUGAGCAAAGCUUCCUGUGAACCAAAGCUAAAUAGUAAACCAAACUCUCUCCAUUGCUAUGGCAGCUUCAUAAUGGAGCUCACCUUCCAGCAGUCCUAAAUAUGCAGAGUUCCUGGUGAAGGGCCUUGGGUGUUGAUUCUAGAUUGACUCUUAUUGGGAGCUUAGCGAAAUGGCGGCAACAUCUCCCUCAUAGCAGAUACACUGUCUUAUAUGGCAUGGGUGAAGAUGUAAGUAUUAUUUUCAAUACAGUGUGAGAAGAUUAGGGUUCUCUUUCUGUCUCUCUCCAUCUUUCUCUCUCUCCUCUUCCUCUCCUAACUUCUCCCCUUCUUUCUCUGAAU